UACGGAGGGUGCGAGCGUUGUCCGGAAUCAUUGGGCGUAAAGGGCGCGUAGGUGGCCCGGUUAGUCCGUGGUGAAAGCGCGGGGCUCAACCCUGCGUCGGCCAUGGAUACUGCCGCGGCUGGAGCACUGUAGAGGCAGGCGGAAUUCCGGGUGUAGCGGUGGAAUGCGUAGAGAUCCGGAAGAACACCGGUGGCGAAGGCGGCCUGCUGGGCAGUGGCUGACACUGAGGCGCGACAGCGUGGGGAGCAAA
rnacentral:rRNA from 1 species